rnacentral:rRNA from 1 species
UACAGCGGUCCCAAGCGUUGUUCGGAUUCACUGGGCGUAAAGGGGGCGUAGGUGGGCAGGUAAGUCAGUGGUGAAAUCCCCGAGCUUAACUUGGGAACUGCCAUUGAUACUAUUUGUCUUGAAUACUGUGGAGGUUAGCGGAAUAUGUCAUGUAGCGGUGAAAUGCUUAGAUAUGACAUAGAACAUCAAUUGCGAAGGCAGCUGGCUACACAAAUAUUGACACUGAUGCACGAAAGCGUGGGGAUCAAACAGG